AUUGAACGCUGGCGGCAUGCCUUACACAUGCAAGUCGAACGGCAGCACGGGAGCAAUCCUGGUGGCGAGUGGCGAACGGGUGAGUAAUAUAUCGGAACGUGCCCAGUCGUGGGGGAUAACGUAGCGAAAGCUACGCUAAUACCGCAUACGAUCUAUGGAUGAAAGCGGGGGAUCGCAAGACCUCGCGCGAUUGGAGCGGCCGAUAUCAGAUUAGGUAGUUGGUGAGGUAAAGGCUCACCAAGCCGACGAUCUGUAGCUGGUCUGAGAGGACGACCAGCCACACUGGGACUGAGACACGGCCCAGACUCCUACGGGAGGCAGCAGUGGGGAAUUUUUGGGACAAUGGGCGCAAGCCUGAUCCAGCAAUGCCGCGUGCAGGAUGAAGGCCUCGG
rnacentral:rRNA from 1 species